CCUACGGGGGGCUGCAGUGGGGAAUAUUGGACAAUGGGCGAAAGCCUGAUCCAGCCAUGCCGCGUGUGUGAAGAAGGCCUUCGGGUUGUAAAGCACUUUCAGUGGGGAAGAAAGCCUUGGGGCUAAUACCCUCGAGGAAGGACAUCACCCACAGAAGAAGCACCGGCUAACUCCGUGCCAGCAGCCGCGGUAAUACGGAGGGUGCGAGCGUUAAUCGGAAUUACUGGGCGUAAAGCGCGCGUAGGCGGUCUGAUAAGCCGGUUGUGAAAGCCCCGGGCUCAACCUGGGAACGGCAUCCGGAACUGUCAGGCUAGAGUGCAGGAGAGGAAGGUAGAAUUCCCGGUGUAGCGGUGAAAUGCGUAGAGAUCGGGAGGAAUACCAGUGGCGAAGGCGGCCUUCUGGACUGACACUGACGCUGAGGUGCGAAAGCGUGGGUAGCAAACAGGAUUAGAUACCCGUGAGUC
rnacentral:rRNA from 1 species